GGUACGACUCUCGGCAAUGGAUAUCUCGGCUCUCGCAUCGAUGAAGAACGUAGCGAAAUGCGAUACCUGGUGUGAAUUGCAGAAUCCCGCGAACCAUCGAGUCUUUGAACGCAAGUUGCGCCCGAGGCCGCUAGGCCGAGGGCACGCCUGCCUGGGCGUCACGC
rnacentral:rRNA from 1 species